rnacentral:rRNA from 1 species
AGAGUUUGAUCCUGGCUCAGAAUGAACGCUGGCGGCGUGCUUUACACAUGCAAGUCGAGCGAGGCGGCCCGCAAGGGCCAGUCGAGCGGCGAACGGGUGAGUAACGCGUGGAUGACCUGCCCUUUAGUGGGGAACAACCAGGGGAAACUCUGGCUAAUACCGCAUAAGACCGAAAGGUGAAAGCGGGGUCGCAAGAUCUCGCGCUGAAGGAGGGGUCCGCGUCCGAUUAGCUAGUUGGUAGGGUAAAGGCCUACCAAGGCGACGAUCGGUAGCCGGCCUGAGAGGGUGAUCGGCCACACUGGAACUGAGACACGGUCCAGACUCCUACGGGAGGCAGCAGUGGGGAAUUUUGCGCAAUGGGCGAAAGCCUGACGCAGCAACGCCGCGUGGAGGAUGAAGGUCCUUGGAUUGUAAACUCCUGUCAGCGGGGAAAAAGGGAUUCGACCUAAUACGUCGGAGACUUGAUUGUACCCGCAGAGGAAGCCCCGGCUAACUCUGUGCCAGCAGCCGCGGUAAUACAGAGGGGGCAAGCGUUAUUCGGAAUUAUUGGGCGUAAAGGGCGCGUAGGCGGCUUUUCAAGUGACGGGGUGAAAUCCCUCGGCUUAACCGAGGAACUGCCUGUCAGACUGGAAGGCUUGAGACCGGGAGAAGAGUGUAGGUGGAAUUCCCAGUGUGUAGCGGGUGAAAUGCGUAGAUUUUUGGGGAAGGAACACCAGUGGGGCGGAGGGCGGCUCACUGGAACCGGAUCUGACGCUGAGCGCGAAGCCGUGGGGGAGCAAACAGGAUUAGUACCCUGGU